rnacentral:rRNA from 1 species
UACGUAGGGUGCGAGCGUUGUCCGGAUUUAUUGGGCGUAAAGAGCUCGUAGGCGGUUUGUUGCGUCGGCUGUGAAAACCUGAGGCUCAACCUCAGGCCUGCAGUCGAUACGAGCAGACUAGAGUGUUGCAGGGGAGACUGGAAUUCCUGGUGUAGCGGUGAAAUGCGCAGAUAUCAGGAGGAACACCGGUGGCGAAGGCGGGUCUCUGGGCAACAACUGACGCUGAGGAGCGAAGGCCAGGGGAGCAAACGGG